UGGAGAAUCUAGAAGAUGAAGAAACAUGGG
rnacentral:piRNA from 1 species